rnacentral:rRNA from 1 species
UACGUAGGGGGCAAGCGUUGUCCGGAAUCAUUGGGCGUAAAGAGCGUGUAGGCGGCUUGGUAAGUCCGAUGUGAAAGUCCAGGGCUCAACCCUGGAAUGGCGGUGGAAACUGUCAAGCUUGAGUCCGGAAGAGGCGAGUGGAAUUCCUGGUGUAGCGGUGAAAUGCGCAGAUAUCAGGAGGAACACCAAUGGCGAAGGCAGCUCGCUGGGACGGUACUGACGCUGAGACGCGAAAGCGUGGGGAGCAAACAGG